rnacentral:lncRNA from 1 species
GGAAGGCGGGGCUAGGCCGUCAUUCAACUUGGCCCCGCCGAUCAGGGCGGGACUACGCGCGCCCUGGGCCCGCCCAGGAAGGUUCCGCAGGUAGAAGGCAGGCGCCCGGUCUACGACGUCAUCGCGCUGACGCCGGCGUCCACUCGGCCCCGCCUGCUCCGUUGAAAAUGCCGAACCUAACAUGGCGGCGCGCGCUCGGCCCGCUUCACCCUGGUGUUUCCUCUCGCGCGGGCACUCUUCAGAGAGGAGAGACCCUCUUGGACAAGAGAGGCAGGCUGCAAAAGCCCACUGAACGUGCUUCUGAUAUUCAGGGAGAGGGAAACCCAGCCCCAGCGACCUGCAGAAAGAGGCGGCUUUGGCUUCCGUCACGUUGAGUGGUGCGGGUCCAUCAGAAGCUCCAAGGACACCCCUAAGGCUGCUGUCAGUGACGGGUUCUUAAAUUCAGUCCCUUAAGCUGGAUCGCACAGAGCUGCUUUUGCUGAGCUCGCAGUAGAGCAUCGACGCUGGUGGGUAUAAAGGGCGUCCAGGCAAGGUCUGUGGAUCUUCUGUGUUCGUAGCUGUUGUCAGGCGCCCUGUCGGGUCCGUGCAUUACUUACCGUCCAUCUCAUCCUCUGUUUUCUCCGUGUUGGAGAGUUUCUCAAUCUUGCUACUGUCCUACCUGACCUGUGCCCAGGAAGCCCCA